UGCCAGCCGCCGCGGUAAUACGGAGGGUGCAAGCGUUGUUCGGAAUUACUGGGCGUAAAGCGCGUGUAGGCGGCUGCGCAAGUCGGAUGUGAAAUCCCAGGGCCCAACCCUGGAACUGCAUCCGAAACUGCGUAGCUAGAGUCUCGGAGAGGAUGGCGGAAUUUCCGGUGUAGAGGUGAAAUUCGUAGAUAUCGGAAGGAACACCAGUGGCGAAGGCGGCCAUCUGGACGAUGACUGACGCUGAGACGCGAAAGCGUGGGGAGCAAACAGGAUUAGAUA
rnacentral:rRNA from 1 species